ensembl:lncRNA
GGCAGGGGCAGGCUGGCUUCCAGCACUGGGAGAUUCGCCUUAAUUUCCACAUCCACCCUGCCCCUGACUCUUAGGAUCUGUUUUGCAGACGAACAAACAGGAGCUCAGGGCUGGCGACCCAAAUCCCAUCACUUGCGCUUCGGGGAUCCAGCCCGGCCCCACUUGUCGCCCUUGGGCUUUGUGGCCUCUCCCUGCCUCGUGCCCUUCCCAGAGCCUCCUCACCUCCCUGGCCUGCGAGUCCUUCCUUCAUUAAAUGGGACGGGUCUUGCCAACUUGGCCAGGCUGGGCUUGAAGUUGGGCUCUUCCUGCCUUCUCCCAGAGUGCUGAGAUUGCUGAGAUUACAGGGCUCAACAGUCCCAAGGCCUGGAUGGUUCUCCUAGCAGCUGGACUCCCUGGAAUGGUUGAUUUGUUGGCCCGGUCACCAGAUAUCCUGGGACGGUGAAGAUGAGAGGAUAUGGCUCUAGGGAGCUCUUCCAGUGUUUGCCUAGGGCUGAAAAAGGAAAAUUGCACCAGGCAGUGAAGUCAGCAUGGAAGACUAUUUUUAAGACUACUGCAAUUGAGGGAUUGAAUUCGGGACCUUGUGCUUUCGAGGCAGGUGCUGGAACCACUGAGCUAAAUCCCCGGCCCCCGCCAUGAUGUUUCUGCCUCACCACGGGCUCAGAAGCAAUGAAGCCAGGUGACCAUGGACUGAAACCUCUGAAACCAUGAGCCAAAAUAAAUCUUUCCCCCUUUGCAUUGUUAUUUUCAAGUGUUUUGUCACCUGACUAACACGGGGAUCACAAGUGAGGGGAUUCUUGCUUACCUUGCUCAGCAGCCUGACAAACCAAUAAGGAGGUCUGGCUCAGAAGACUCAAGUAAAAUCUGGCUGAAGAGGGAGGGAGUCCUUGUCAGCCCCUGCCUCAUUCUACAUGCAAGACGCUGGGACUGUGUCUGUUUGCUCCUGGGAUCCCUGGCCUCCUGGACUGUGAGCUUAGGCCAGUGAUAUCUCUUUAUUUUGCAUAGUGCUGACUGUAGGUGAGUCCUUAAAGGCUGCUCACUCCCUAACACUUUGGGAGACAAAAUUGCAUUGUAGUUAAGAGCACAGGCUGGGCCGGGGAUUUAGCUUAGUGGUUCCGCAGCCUGCCUCGCAAG